CCUACGGGGGGCAGCAGUCGAGAAUCAUGCACAAUGGGGGAAACCCUGAUGGGGCGACGCCGCGUGGGGGAAUGAAGGUCUGCGGAUUGUAAACCCCUGUCAUGUGGGAGCAAAUGAAAAAGAUAGUACCACAAGAGGAAGAGACGGCUAAACCUGUGCCAGCAGCCGCGGUAAUACAGAGGUCUCAAGCGUUGUUCGGAAUUACUGGGCGUAAAGCGUGCGUAGGCUGUUUCGUAAGUCGUGUGUGAAAGGCGCGGGCUCAACCCGCGGACGGCACAUGAUACUGCGAGACUAGAGUAAUGGAGGGGGAACCGGAAUUCUCGGUGUAGCGGUGAAAUGCGUAGAUAUCGAGAGGAACACUCGUGGCGAAGGCGGGUUCCUGGACAUUAACUGACGCUGAGGCACGAAGGCCAGGGGAGCGAAAAGGAUUAGAUACCCGGGUAGUC
rnacentral:rRNA from 1 species